UGCGUAGGUGGCGCCGUAAGUCGGGUGUGAAAUUUCGGAGCUUAACUCCGAAACUGCAUUCGAUACUGCGGUGCUUGAGGACUGGAGAGGAGACUGGAAUUCAUGGUGUAGCAGUGAAAUGCGUAGAGAUCAUGAGGAAGACCAGUGGCGAAGGCGGGUCUCUGGACAGUUCCUGACACUGAGGCACGAGGGCCAGGGAGCAAACG
rnacentral:rRNA from 1 species